rnacentral:rRNA from 1 species
UACAGAGGUCUCAAGCGUUGUUCGGAUUCAUUGGGCGUAAAGGGUGUGUAGGUGGCGCGCUAAGUCGGGGUGUGAAAUUUUCGGAGCUUAACUCCGAAACUGCAUUCGAUACUGGCGUGCUUGAGGACUGGAGAGGAGACUGGAAUUAUGGUGUAGCAGUGAAAUGCGUAGAGAUCAUGAGGAAGACCAGUGGCGAAGGCGGGUC